UUGCAGACAUUUUUCUCUACAUAUUUUUCUGUACAUGAACAAAGAACAUUUCUUUAACCAGCAAACAUAGCAUAUUUAACUGAUGUUAAAUAAUCAAAAGCAAUGUCCUUCCAGGGAGCAGUUCAUGUCAACCUCUUCAUGCAGGCAUUGAAACAGGAGAUGACAAGUAUAUCAAGUCCUAAAGAUGAUCGGGAGUGGCAAAGCAUUUGCUGUUCUAAGUCACAAUAUGACAGCUGCAUUGGAGAUCAUGACAACAUAUUACAGCAAUAGGUUGUGCAUCCCAAUAGGUUAAACCUGUUUCAGUCUGAAUGCAUUAUGAAAUGAGACACUUUCACAGUAGAACAAAAUAAAACAUAU